rnacentral:lncRNA from 1 species
UCUAAGUCCAUUAUGAACUGGGUGUUCUCCCGUGAAUGGAUCCUGUCUCCGUGGGCAGACUGGGUCAUAGCUAUCCUGGUCCCAGCCAUGGCCUUUCAGCUAUGACUCAGAGGAGAUGGAUUCACGACCCUGGCACAGGACGCCGUUGCAAUAGUUAAAACUCCCCUCCAGUGAAGCUGUGCCCUUUGCAGCGGAAGCACACAAGCCCACCGAAGCUGCUGUUUAACUCGGCCGAUGACCUCGUCUACCUUCAAGAACACAGAGUAUCUCAAAUGAAGUGAUUGCCUCCGACGCACUGGAGAGUGGAGUAAGACAGGUAGAAAAAUCACAGAACCCUGUUGCUGAGUCUCUGAGGUUCACUUACGUGUGAAGUGACCAUUUCCUGCAGGAAAGAAGCUACUGUUCAAAAGAGUGCCUCAGAAAAAUUGCUUCACGUCGCUGACCUUCAGGGUCAUCCCAAAGUGUAAACUCUGUGAGUCUGUAAAGGCGUAGUAGCUCUGACAAAUGAUUUUCUUCCCCAAAUGAGAAAAGGAAACUGACUUCUAAGAUGGGGUCCCAUCCUGUGAGCUGAGGACCCCUAGUGGUCCCUGUGGGAAUACCUCCUUCUGAACAACAAGCGUUGUCUGGAGAAUGAGUCUCUCAAAAACCAUUUUUCAGAUGCACGUAUAUGCUGUUGCGACUAAUAAAACACAGUUCCACUUAAAGUACUGAAACUGUUACAAUGGCUUUUUGUUAUUGUACUUCUUUUUCAAUUAAAAGACACCCAAAAUGCUGUCACUAACUGGAGAGAGCCGGAGGUUUUAACGUUACUCACAAGGGCCGUGAGUCCCUGCUUUACACGACCGUCUCCACGGCAGCUACGCUCUUUUCGAUAAGCGGCACCUCAAAUAGUCGGCUCCACUGAGAAUAACAGAAAUGCUCUCUGGAACUCAACCAGUAAGAGAAUUGUACUAAAUACAAAUAACACACUUAUCCGUAUUGCAGUAAGUUGUAGGGAAAAAAGCAUGACCCACAAAGGAGAAUUUGCAUCCUUUGACCAAACACCAAGUGGCAGGGUCACAUAAAGUAACAGUGAAUGACUGGAAGAGCAAAUAUCUUCCUAGUGGGACCUUGGCUUUCACUGGUCAUCUGUGGAAAUUGCAACAUGCAAAGCCAUACGGGACACCAGGCUUCACUGGAACCUAAAUUUUAAUUCACUGUUUAAAAACUUCACACACACACACUCAAGAGUGAGUUAUGUCAUGGCCUGGCUCAGCUUUGUGUGUGCAUAAAUUCUUCUAUCCCUCUGAAUAAAGGGUCAUCAUUACUUCAUUAUUGAAAUAUUCUCUUAGCUUGCCUGAUUUCCAGGGCUAGCUUCCCAGGGCAGUCAGGCAAAUAGAAUUUCUUUACUAGAAAGACAGGGAUCUAGAAUUGAUAAGAGAAUUUUUUUUUUCCUUUUAGUUUUCCUUCCUUAUACCUAAAAUCAUAUCAAGUAGCACUUACCAUGUCAGGGGAGGGGAGGGCAAGAUUUUUCAGAAAACACUGGGCGUAGGAUGGCAAUACAUCACAACUCAGAUUCUCUCUCUCGAUAUCAAAGGAGAGUUCGUGAGAAAGACAGUGAAUGCCUUACUUGCAAUCAGGUAAAACCGGACAAUGAAUUUUCCUAUCCAUGUGUUCACAAAGACAGACACGCACGGAUACUUGAAACGCGCAAAAAUAAUUUACUCUUCAAUCUCAGAUACACAAAUAUA